UCACAAAUAACUUAUCUUCAAAAUGGCUGACAUCAAAAUCAUUUCAUGGAAUGUCAGAGGCCUCAAUGAUAAAAUAAAACGAGUCUUAGUCUUUAAUUACCUGAAAACCUACAAUCCUCAUAUCUUAUUACUACAAGAGACACAUUUGGUGGAGCAAAAAGUUCUUGCCCUUAAAAAACCGUGGGUCGCGCACGCAUACCAUUCUACCUACUCCACCUACAGCAGAGGUACCUCGAUUCUUAUCAGAAGAGGUCUUUCCUUUCGGUUCGAGGGGCUGCGCACUGACAGAUUUGGCAGAUUUCAAAUACUUCAUGGCUUGAUAUCGGGUUUUCCCAUCACAAUAGUCAAUUUAUAUAUUCCACCACCAUUUUCAGACGCCAUUUUGCAUGACGUUUCUUCAGCUCUUGCACAGUUGCCCCCAUCCCCCAUAUGCAUAGCGGGUGACUUUAACACAUACCUAGACCCUUCUAUGGAUAAGCUUAACCCCUUGCACGCCUCACCCUCGAAACUGUUGGAUUGGCUUCAGGCCUUUAACCUAACGGAUGUCUGGCGUUGGAAGCAUACAAAUGAUAGGGAAUUCAGUUGUUACUCAGCCACUCACCGCACACUAUCCCGCAUAGAUUUAAUUCUAACCUCGGCUGAUCUUCUUACAAAAGUAAGAGAAGUCAAAUUCCUCCCUCGCGCAAUUUCAGACCACGCCCCUGUUUUUUUAUCAAUACAAUUACACCCACCAACCCAGUGCAAACAAUGGAGACUUUCUCCACUAUGGCUUAAAAACUACACAAUUAUUGAAGAUUCUACUAUGGCUCUUCAGAAUUACUGGGAAAUUAAUUCAGGAUCUGCAAACCCAAGCACAACUUGGGAGGCUAGCAAAGCAGUAUUGCGGGGGGCUUUAAUAACAACAAUUAAUAAAGCACGAAAUAUUACCAAAGAUCAAUUAAAUACUCUGGAACUCAGUUUGGCACAAGCCGAGCGAGACUUCACUGAUGACCCAUCCCCCGAAAACCACGCUAACUUUACCAUGGCCCUUAGACAAGUCGAACUGUACAGGUUGAACCUCACUAAAAAACAGCUUUUAUACUCAACUAGUAGAGCAUUUGCCCUAGGAGAUAAAAAUGGAAAACCUCUAGCUUUUUUAGCCAAAACAUUGGACCAAUCUACGGCCAUUCCCAAAAUUAUUAAUGCUCAAGGUCAGGCCAUUUUGGCUCCCUCCAGAAUUGCUGAGGAAUUUAAAUCAUACUAUGCAGACUUAUACACAUCCAAAGCACGAUACACCAAUGAGGAACUGCACACCUAUCUAAACAAGAUCUCCCUUCCUCACUUAUCUCAACACCAAACUAAAUAUCUAGACAAUCCAAUUUCGCAAUUAGAGAUAGCCGAGGCGAUAAUGGCUAUGUCUACAGGGAAGUCCCCGGGUCCAGAUGGAUACGGAAUUGAAUGGUAUAGACUACACAUAAAGCAAUUGGUCCCCAAACUCCUGGAUACAUACAUGCACGCAUAUGAAAAUUUCACACUACCUCCCUCAUUCUCAGAAGCAACCAUUAUAGUUUUACCCAAACCAGGUAAAGAUAGUACUAGUUGCGCAUCAUAUAGACCGAUAUCACUUCUAAAUUGUGAAGUUAAAAUAUUAGCAAAAAUCCUAGCAAGGCGACUGAUUAAAAUUAUAACAUCCCUGGUACAUGAAGACCAAUCUGGUUUCAUUCCUUCCAAGUCAACCGCAAUUAACAUACGCAGACUACAUUUUAAUCUACAAGCAUCACAUGAAAAUGGAGAAACAGGUGUAGUAGUAUCUCUAGAUACAGCCAAAGCAUUUGAUUCUAUUGAAUGGCCAUAUCUCUGGGAGGUCUUGACAAGACUAGGAAUUGGCCCAAGCUUUAUUAAAUGGGUUCGCUUAAUGUACAGUAAACCUACGGCCAGACUUAAAGUGAAUGAUGUGCUAUCCGCUCCUUUUACUCUAUCUAGAGGAACCAGACAGGGAUGCCCUCUUUCCCCCUUACUAUUUGCUUUGGCGAUAGAACCUAUGGCCAUUGUUAUUCGACAACAUCCCCAGAUUCAAGGCCUAGUGUAUAAAGGUUUAUAGGAAAAAAUCUCUCUUUAUGCAGAUGACACCCUUUUAUACUUAGCCAACCCAGCGGACUCAUUGGGAAUCACCUUAGAAACAAUCUCUACUUUUGGGAAUUUUUCUGGCCUACAAAUCAACUGGGAUAAAUCUCAAUUAUUUCCACUUUCCACUCGUGCGCUACAGUCAAUAAACCCUACAAGUAACCUCAAAAUAGUGGAUACUUUUAAGUACUUAGGAAUUUUAAUUCAUAAGGAUCCAACCACAUUUAUUUCCCUUAAUUUACAACCUCUUAUACAACUUAUGAAAAGUACACUUGCAAAAUGGUCUACCUUACCGCUAACCCAAAUUGGCAGGAUUAAUAUAUGCAAGAUGGUAUUUCUUCCCAAAUUUUUAUAUCUCUUCACUAACUCACCCUGCUAUAUACCCAAAUCAAUUCUGAAAACAAUAGACCGCACACAAGCUGACUUUGUGUGGGCCCAAAAAUCUCCCACAGUAGCUAGAACAACACUUCAUGCCCCCGCAAGUCACCUAGGCUUAGGGAUGCCUAACUAUGAAUCCUACUACCUAGCGACACAAGCAAUACAUGCCUCCAAUUGGAAAACAUUUGAUACGGAAAACCCAGCUUCUCUGCUGGAAGCGUUGUACUUCGGUUCCAUUGAAUCAUUACACCAUGCUCUUUACAGGCCAAAAAAAUCCUUACCAAUUUUAAUUCCAUUGUUGGAUGCCACUAAGAAAUCGUGGGACACGUUGUACAAAUCAACCAAUAAGGACAAUUCUUUUUCACCAGACAUGCCCCUGUGGCAUAAUGCCUCACUAAGCAACUUUGACAAAUUUACUGGAGGGGGCUUCUGGGCAAGAGCUGGAAUCAGGCAACUGCAACAUAUAACACAAGUGGGCAAUUUUAAAACUCUAGAGCAGUUCCAACAAACUCCGGAAUUGUCAGAUCUGUCGGUGUAUAGAUACCUGCAACUGCAACAUUUAUACCACACACAAUUUCACAUCAACCCACCCAAAAUUCAACAAAUAACUGUAGAAACUAUAAUAAGCCCACCAGAGAAACAGAAACUGGUAUCCAAAACAUACACGCACAUUGCUUCUCUCAAAUAUGACCACAGACCCAGGGUCAAACUUAAGUGGGAAAGUAGUGGUGUUCACUUAGAUUCUGAUGAUUGGGAAGAAUUAGAAGAAAGCCUCUAUCUUCCUCUUAUCAGUACAAGAGACAGGCUCAUUCAAUUUAAAAUUAUACAUCAAACAUACUUGACACCAAAAAAACUACAACUUAUGGGCCGCUUGGAGCAUUCCAGAUGCCCCCGCUGCAACUCCCCGGAUGCUGAUUUCAUACACCUUAUAUGGUAUUGUCCAGUGUUACAGCAAUUUUGGAAAAAGAUAAUGCAGUUUUUAGCCGAAGAAUUUACUCUACCACAAGUUCUAAACCCAGCUACCUGCCUACUCGGCAUAACGGAUGCUCUGGUUCCCAGAAUCCACUCAAGAUUAUUGAUGAGAGCGCUUUUGUUCUUUGCCAGGAAAACGGUAGCCCUACACUGGAUGGGACCAACUCCUCCUACGAUUAAACAAUGGAUUAAUCUUAUUAAUUCCCAGCUGGAACUUUAUAAGUUAACAUAUAUUGCCAGGGGUUGUCCACAGAAAUUCGAUAAAAUAUGGUCUCCUUGGUUGGAUUCUCCUGCAACAAUGACUAAAUAAGUCUAUUGCGAAUUGUCUUUGUAUCCUAUCAUGUCUACCUUCUUCUUCCUUCCUUCUUUACUUCCUUCCUUCUUGUUGUUAUUGAAAACUCAAUAAAAAGUUACUAUUAAAAAAAAAAGUUCAUCCAAAGGUGAACAACCCCUUUGAUUUAUUUUUUUAAUAAGGUUUACUUCUUUGGAUUUGGAGCUUUUGAGUUUGGAAUGUAAACAGCUCUCUUUGGUGCAAGGAUCUUUCAUUUUGCAAUAAGACAUUUGCAAGCAAUUUAAACCUAACCUAACAAGCAAGGAUGUAUUUAUCAUAUAGAUACCCGAGGGCCAAUGCGUGGGGCAGCAGAUAUAGGGUGGUAGACCAUGGGUGCCUAUAUGGUAAAAGAAAAAGAAACAAAACACAUCCUCCCAGCAUGCCAUCUGAUUCUUGUGGCUAAAUCUGUUGCCGGAAUUUUGGGAGAAAAGGAUACAUCUUGCUCUUCAGCAGUUGGCACAUCAGUUGGCUGUGCAUGGCAAACAAAAGCUCUUUUUGCCCUGAGCCUAAAAAAAAUGAAAACAAACUUGCUGACUAGAUAAAUUAUGCUGAAGUUAAGUUUAUUUAUAGCUAACACUAGAAAAAAUAUUUCCCUUUACAUAGAUGAUGAAAUCAUUAAUAUGCCACUUCUCCUUUUCUGUUUAUUCAGUGGAAAAUGCAGAAAGCUCACUUUUAAGCCAAAUUAGCAAUUUAGCCUAUCUGGGGAUUCCAUUACAUUUAGCAUGUAUGUCUUUGUAUUCAUAUCUUUGUUAAAGUUGUCUAUAAAUUCUGGAAUUGGUGAAGACCAUGUUUUCCACCACAAAAGGAUCAGUAUGCAUAAAAACAAAUGUGGUUCUUGGGUAUGCAGGAAGGCAGCAUUUAAAGAUGGGCAACGUGAAGUUAGUUGCUUCAGUUUCUGCUGGCCUACACAGUAAGGAGACUGGAACUACAGCUAAUACUGUCAAGGCAGAAGCCACCAUGAAAUGAGAACAGGAGGUGCCUGGGAUGAAUAAAGUAUAACAGACAAAGUAUUGUCCAAAUAGAUCCAAGAAAGACGUUAACCUUGAAGAUGGCCAUUAAGGCUGUAGUGUAGAGACAGCUGUAGUGUAGAGACAGCUCCCCAAUUCUAUACGUAAUAUAAAUAGUAGUUGCUAAAUCCAUGGAGUAGGUGUAACAAUCAUACUUUCUACACCAAAACAAAGCCCAACUUUGCUUGCUGAUUGUGGGAAUAUCAACUCUCUUAGCAAAUAUAUCACAGCAGGUUGCCAACAUGAAGAAAGAUGAAAGCGUAAAUUUAAAUAGUGUUCCCUGAACUUUGGUACUGGACCAAGAGCCAGGGAAUAUAUAUUAAUUGCAAUGGGUACAUAGAAAUUUAAACAGAAACAAAGCAGUAGGUCAUAAUCUAAAGGAGAAAAACGCUUUCACGAUAUACAGACCAUUAUCAAUGUCUCCUUGCCCGCAACACAAUACAGUGCAAAGCAACUGUCAAAAAAUGAGCAGAAGAUGAGUAAUAGAGAAGAAAUAUUAUAGGAGUACGAAACAUGGUGUUCAUACAAGGAGGCAUAACACUGCCAGGAAAAGUGUGUAGGUCUCUAGUAUGAAGGUUACAGGAACAACGUAGAUAUUUCAAUUAAUCUGAUAACGAUAAUGUCAAAGGAGCUCCCACAGGAACACUGUUCAUGCACAAAACCUAUGAAGCAUACCAUAGAGAGAGCAUUGUUCUCAGUGAUUUUGCUACACAUAUGAGUCAAUAAUACAGAAUGGCUGCACAAUAGUUUACUGCUUGUCACUUUGGAAUCUGGGCACUGAAGGUUCUUGUAUUUUUCAAGGGAAGAGUUACAUCUCCUGCAAUGGAGACUCCUGCUGAAAGAAAGAUCAAGGCCAGUCAACGGUUCAUAUAGUCAAGAAAAAAAGAGAGAGCCCUUAACAUCAAGAAAUAGAAAACUAUUACACAGUUGAUCAAGAGAGACUUUUUUUGAAAAGUUCUAUAGCAAUAACAAAUGUUAUUUUCAGCUCAUUUGUUUCAUCUGUGUCAUACAGUUGUGGAUAACGGUGAAGCCCAACAAGAAGACACCUGGAAGUAGUCAACGCUUUCUAUACUCUUUAAAAACUUUACAAUGGCAUUGGUUUGAAUUGAAUUCUGGAUUCAUGAUGGAAGCAGAAAUACAAUACAGAAAGGAAGACGGUUAAUUGUUGUGUUUAUGUUAUGCUCUUUUACAGGGGCCCAAGUUACACCCACAAAUACAUGUAUCUCAUGGAAACCCUACUUGCUUGGAAAGGGGAAUCCAGGUAAAAUGUCCAUAAAGGGGUACUGUCAGCAAGAAGCUCCCCUUUAUCUUUCCAAGCUAUAGGCACUCUUCAAUUUUAAUAUGCUAAUGCCUUUCCCUUCAGCAGUGCUAAAUGUUGUCACUGAAUUAUCUGAGCCUUUCAGAUAAUGGCUUAUUACAUCUUGUCUUGAAUCUUCUGAAUUGAUAGCUAAAGUCCAGGCCUAUCCAAGGCCUCCUAAAAAAGUCUAGGAGGAAACUGGCAUUAAUGAAACAUAAUGGACUUCUAGGAUCCAAAUCAUACUUCAGUAGUGGGUCAAAAUGGUACUUGGGCUAGGGUAGCCUUUUACACUGUACAAGAGAGUCUACUGGAGCAGUAUUGCCAAACUUCCUGUUUCAAACAAAUACCAUGCCACCCCUGUAGCACAAGGUGAGACAACUUCACUCACAGCAGUGUGGUAAUGGUAAUGAAAAUACUUAUGGACUUAAGUUGCCCUUAACCCUAAAUAAAUAUACAGUGAAACGAACUUGUAUCAUAGACAAACUUAAAUACUGAAGGACACUUCUGUCCUUCUUGCCACCUAAGGUGGUAGACUCAACACCUAGCCACCCUGCACCCUCUGAGCAUUUACUGGCCCUGCAUUCAAUUGAGCAAAGUGGACAAGAUUGCUUAUACAUAGGUUAUAAUUGCACUUUUUACACUAAAAGAUGCAAUUGCUUCAUUGUUUGCCUACUGCUGCUUGUGCUUGCCAUGCAUUGCAUAGCGAUUUUGGGAGUUCUUGGUGAGAACAGCAAUGGUGAAUGUAGCCCAUGCAAGUUUUAAGGGAUGCUAUUGUGAUCGGUGGAUUCAUUUAGGUUUGUAUUGCAACAUUGUCUGUUUUUUUAUGUCACUUUUUUGUGGUAUGGAGAACUCAACUAUGUGGAGAAAAGACACAGGAAGACUGGAUAGACUCUACAACUAGGAUACCCAAUAUAAGUUUUGGACUGUGGAAGGAAACUUGUCAUAUCUGGAUGAAACUCAAGCAACAAACAAACCACUAAAAAGCGAUGUGGUCAGAAUUGAA